rnacentral:rRNA from 1 species
UGGGGAAUUUUGGACAAUGGGGGCAACCCUGAUCCAGCCAUGCCGCGUGCGGGAAGAAGGCCUUCGGGUUGUAAACCGCUUUUGGCCGGGAAGAAAAGGCGCAGGUUAAUACCUUGCGUUUUUGACGGUACCGGCAGAAUCAGCACCGGCUAACUACGUGCCAGCAGCCGCGGUAAUACGUAGGGUGCGAGCGUUAAUCGGAAUUACUGGGCGUAAAGCGUGCGUAGGCGGUUCGUUGGGUCUGUGGUGAAAGCCCCGGGCUUAACCUGGGAAUGGCCAUGGAAACUGGCGAGCUGGAGUGUGGCAGAGGGGGGUGGAAUUCCGCGUGUAGCAGUGAAAUGCGUAGAGAUGCGGAGGAACACCGAUGGCGAAGGCAGCCCCCUGGGCUAACACUGACGCUGAGGCACGAAAGCGUGGGGAGCAAAC